GAAGCUGGUAAUGGCAACAAGAAGAACCAGAAAUGAGACAGCUGCUCUUAGAGGAUUUGUGUUAUUCUUGUUGUUCUUGUUCUUCUUGUUGUUGUUCUUGUUCUUCU
rnacentral:ribozyme from 1 species